rnacentral:rRNA from 1 species
AUUGAACGCUGGCGGCAGGCCUAACACAUGCAAGUCGAACGGAAGAAGCGUGCUUGCUCCUGGAUUCAGCGGCGGACGGGUGUGUAAUGCCUAGGAAUAUCCUUGGUUGUGGGUGAUGAUGUCCUGAAGCGGGUGCUGAUAACGCAUUAGUGCAGAGGGAGAAAGUGGGGGAGCUUCGGAACUUAUGCUAUGGUGUGAGCCUAGGUCGGAUUAGCUAGUUGGUGGGGUAAAGGCCUACCAAGGCGACGAUCCGUAACUGGUCUGAGAGGAUGAUCAGUCACACUGGAACUGAGACACGGUCCAGACUCCUACGGGAGGCAGCAGUGGGGAAUAUUGGACAAUGGGCGAAAGCCUGAUCCAGCCAUGCCGCGUGUGUGAAGAAGGUCUUCGGAUUGUAAAGCACUUUAAGUUGGGAGGAAGGGCAGUAAGUUAAUACCUUGCUGUUUUGACGUUACCAACAGAAUAAGCACCGACUAACUUCGUG